rnacentral:lncRNA from 1 species
UUUUUUUUUUUUUUUUUUUUUUUGGAGAGACUGGAAGGAGGACAGGGAAGGAAAAAAAUCAUGUAAUUAUAUUGUAAUCCUCAAACUAAAAUUUAAAAAACCCACAAAAAAGAAUGUAUUUUACAUGGCAUACUAAUGGCAAAGCACCUUUUACCUUUCUCUUUCUGAUGGAGACAUGACUACAGAAGGCCUGUGUAGAAAUAGAAUGCUCUACUGUGAUGAACAUGCUCCUGGCAACCUUCUGAUAGUUAUUACUUACAUCAUCCUGUAGGGCUUUUCAAAUGAGGAGCCUUUGUGUUGGCUAAUGAGGUAAUGUCUAUAUAAAUAAAUUGAUUUUUAAAAAAAUAUAAUAUCUUUAUUACAUUUUUAAGAAUUUUAUAUUUACCCUCCUCACCCAAGUCCCUACACACACAAAUUCGUGACCUAUCUAUCUAUCCCUUUCUGUCUUUCUCUUUUCUCUCUCUCCAGUACCUUUCUUUCUUUCUUGAAAACUCAAGUCCAAUUUACAUUGCUUAACGACCCUUAGGUGUGGCACCUGUCCUAUGGAAUGUUCUAUUUAUCAAGGGUCAUCUCAUUAAGUGGAAUUGACUCUUUUUCUUCAAGAAGCUAUAAAACUCAAAUCUCAAUUCACCAUCCACCAUCCUAUAAAAUUCCGCCAUUCUAACUUUUUGGCGAUAUGACUUAAAGAAAGAUUUGUUUGUUACAAAGUUCGAUGAAAUCUCAUUUGUUUUUUUUCCCCUCAAUCUACCUGUCCAUGGAGUAAAUUACCUCUUCUCAAUAAUUUAUUUCUCUCUUCCCACCAUUUCUUCCGAUUUUUCUUUCCUCUCUCAUUUAAUUCUUUAAUUUCUGCUACCUCUUUUCUCUCCUUUCUUCUGUCAUUCUCAAUAUCCUUUCUUUUUAAGAGUCCUUUUUAGAAUCCCCUGAAUCCACAUUAUUGAGACAAAUCUAGUGGAGCAAAGAUGGAGAAAAUUUUGGAGAUGAUUUUCCAGUUAUUAAACAGAUGAAAGCGAAACCUCUCACUUCUGAACUUAAAGGCAGUGUGUUGAAAUGUCAGAAGAAUAGGUCAUCCAUCCCCUGACACUUCUUGUUGAGUAAUACUGCUGUCUUAUUUCUUCUUGAUAUUAAAACCCCUUAAAGAAUGAAGAGUUAUUCCUCCCCCUAUCCUGUAUGCUUUAAUGGCCUGAGGUUCUGAAUAUUCUUGUCCAUGAGAAGACAAGGUUAUCUUCUGUUCUAUCUAAGAAUAUUUUUAUUAGUGAGAAGGACAACGUGGCAACAAGCUGAAUGACAUCUCCCAGUUUCCCAGAAACUGUAACCCCAAGGUCUGCUUCAAAUG